ensembl:lncRNA
GGGGUAUAAAUAGGGGCUAGGGAAGGCAGAGGAAAGGAGGGAGGACGAGUUUCGAGGCCCUUAUUUAGACUACGAUAAAGAUCACUAUAUAACUUUUUCUUUAACUGUCUUAUUUAUCUCAUUUGUUUAUUUUAAUCGUUGGAACAUAUCCUAUACUGCUCCGUCUCCAUCCCAAGACAAUGACAUGCUGCUAAAAACAAACCGAAAAACAACCACGGACAACACAACAAGGACGAUUAAUACAAUAAAGUAUAAAGUAAAUACCAUUGCUGGUAUAAAAACCACACACACACACAUGUAAACAAUGAGUGUAGAUAAAUAAAAUAAAAUUCGCUUUGGGAAGGUGGUGCUGUUGGAGGCCUUGUCCGUUUCCCCGCCACCACCGCGCCAUCGGCGGGCGCUCUGCGGGAGGGAGGGAGGGGGAGCGCGGAGGAAGGAAGUAGGAAAAUGGGAGGAUGCGGCCGCGCUUUGCGUCAAGGCGCUCAGUGCUACGAGGAAAGGGUCCUCCGCGUAACACGACGACACGAUUUGCCUAUUUAUUUGUUUCUCUAAACCACAAGCAACGCGAGCUAGUUAAAACGUAAGUCACACGACAAGAAAAGAACACGAUAUUUUCUCGCUUUGCUUUUGUAUUGUCUGGCUUUCCCAGGCCGCGGGUUUCUCAGUGGGAGAUCUUAGCUAAAGUGGGUUAGCUUAGCCUUGCUACAACGGCUAGGAAUUGAAGGAGGAAAAAAACCAAAACAAAACCAAAUAACGAUGUUAUAAAUUUUAUUAAUCUGAUCUGCCGUGGUUUGCGAAUUUGUACAGAAUCGCUGUUUUAUUUUAAGAACGUUUAUUGCGCUUUUUUGUUUAUUUAUUUAAUAAAAUCGUUUCUGAAAGCCAUGCGAAUGUAAACAGUUUGCUAGCAAAACAAGCAGCUAGCUUAGCCAGCGCGGAAAAAAAAAGUUGGACGUAAACUAGUCUUAAAACCUGUGAUUCCUUUAGAUUUAAGGUAUGUGGAACGCUUUAAAAACCACUCCUAGACAUAUUUAUAAAACAUAAAGUAUUUAUUCAAACGCGUAUGGUCAACUUAUUGUCAUUUCUUCACUGCUAUCGUAGCCUCAUGUCGAAAUAUGUUGUUUACGACACCUUGUUUACGUUUUAGCUCCUUAAUUUGACGGCAGUGUGACUUUUUGUGAGUCUUAUCAUUUUUUUUAUUGCAAAAACAUUGUGUUUAUAUUAAUAAAAAGGUAACUUCACGUUUUAUGUCUAUAACAGUGUUGUAAUUGCAUGUAAACAAGCUAAAAACAAGCCCAGAAUCGAACACAAUUUGUUUGUACAUUUUUCAGUACUAUAAUUAUGCGUAUUGUUAUUAAUAUUGUAUCAAUAUUAUAAUGAUAUAUCUUGUUAAAUUUAGUGUGAAAACUGUGUGUAGGUUGUUUCCUGGUGGUGGUUGUUGUUGUUGUUGUUGGUUGCAGAUUCCAUGCUUGAGGAUGCAGCUGUAUGGAAAUGACGUAAAGCCAAAAAUAGACGCUAACUAAUAUUCGGCUUUGUUUUGACUUCCGUGGUGCUCUGAGGUUUUAUGUUGGCUUCGAGACGUUCGUUUGUUCGGCUUGAAGCCGUAAUAUCCGCUUAUUAAUCUCACACCAGGUCAUGAACAUGGUGGAGAAGCUCCAUCUUUCAAACGCAGGACUUGUACAGCGGACGCGCCACGUGGACGGAGUAAAAUAACGCGUGUAAUCACAGAUCCGGCGACGCUUCCUGUGCGAAGACUUCCGUUUAACGUUUAUAGAAGGAGUCUCCAGUGUCAGUGGUAAAGCAGUAGGUAACUCUACUGUAACUCCACCACGUCGCUGAAUAUUCCUUGCGUUAAAGCCCGGUUUCCGACCGGUUCGACGCGCUGUCUCGUUUUAUUCUUCCGGAAGACGGAAUCAGACGGAUGAAGAGCGCCGCAUCACCGCUAGAUAGGAAUAGAAGCUUUGUUAGCGGUUUGCGUUGCAAUAAAGCAGCUGUAUUAAUAUACGAUGUGUGUUAUGGAUGUAAGCGUACACUACCGGUCAGAAGUUUAGACGCACUUUCUUUACCUUUAUUCUCCCCCGACAUUUUAGAAUAAUUAAUAAAGUCAUCAAAACUCUGGAGUAACACAAAUGGAACGUGUACAAAUGUGUUCUCGGCGUUUUCUCGAGCGAUUUCUCGAGGAAUUUCCCCGAGAUGAUUUUUUUAAACAGUAUUAAAGGAGUUCACACCGACGCCGGACACUCAGCGGCUGCUUUUCACAAUAUUUCUCCCCGAGUCGUCCGUUUAGAAAUAUCCACUUUUUUUUUUGUCAAUAAAACGUUAGUUUCUAAUGAAAGAAACGAAUAUGUUGGCGCGGUUAUGUUUUUGUCACUGAAUUCAAACAUUUAAUCACACACCUUCAGAUCGAAAGCUUUUUAAGGUCGUGAGAAACAUUUCAGUCGAGCGCGUACAAACUUUUGAGCGGUAGUGUAGGUGCGGUGAUGUCCCAUACAGAACGAGGGGGGGACGAGCUCAAGCUACACGCUGGUGAAAUUCGGACGCGUAUCUGUUGGUUCGAGACUGUCGGAUCGUCGGACCUCGUGCUUGUUCAGUGGUCUGGCCGGAACGUCGACGUGAGAGGAGUUCUGGGGCGUGUUCGCUUCUGUUUCUGGGGGCUGUUAGGACUGUUAGAAAGUUUUCCUGGCCUGCUACGACCCUGCGUUUACGUUUAAAGGUGCGUCGAAACAUUGUUUUUUCAGUCUGAGUACAUGCGUAUGUUUUCAGCUCGUCGAUACUGACGAACGUUUGUAAUUCCAGUCAUUUUUUGUGUGUGUAAUGUUCAGAUUUCUGAAUUUUAUAGUUAAAGGUCAAGGAACACAUCCUGUCCGAUAAAGGAAUUUUUUUUAAAGUCGUCACAGCACACCGAUCAUGCCUAAAUGGAAAUAUGACCAUCACAUUGUGUCUCAACCAGCUGCAGGGGUGUAUACGGGGGUGGUGUAUGCAGGGGUGCCCGGGCGCAUACAGGGUCGUGCAGAUUUUAACCACAGAGAAGCGAAUCAUAUUUGCUCAAAUAAUUCCGUAAGCGUUCGCUCAGACGGAAGGGAAUGACACAUGGGCAGUUUUUGUUUUUAUUUCCGGCUGGAGGAGGAACGUGGUUGCGGUCUUUAAGAAAUGAACCCUGCACAUUGUAAGUCUCGUACAUCCGUGCCUAAUUUGCUUUCUCGCUAAUGUCGAUGUGAAAGACCGUACCUGCCCAGGCGUGGGGUUUUCCUCAGGGUUGACCCGCCAGGCCCGUUCCGGAUUCACGCCCAAAUAUAUAACGCUUCGAUAUUUAUCUGGAACGCAGCCGUUUUAAUAGUGUAGCGAGCGUCUCAAAUCGCCACUAAAAUGUCUCCGGGGACGUUUUUUUUGAAAGGUCGUAUAAAAGACGAAGCGGAAUCUCGCUGGAACUUGCGGAUACAGCGUUGUUAUGAUGCGUCACGGGUCCAGAUUACAUUACCGAGACUUGAACAGGAGCAGGGACGGAGACGAACGAUGACCCGAUGGUAGACGGUGAUCAUUUAUUCUCUCUCUCUGUCUGUCUGUGUGUCUGUCGUGUUUGUUCUUGUUUACGGACAGGAAGUGUGUGACGGAUGGAUUUAUCCGAGGUGUCGUGCGGCGUGUAACAAACAGUUCGGCUGCCAGGAUCCUGCUUUGAGUCACGCAGAGCAAAAUUAGCGAAUCGUGACGUUGACUGUCAGGACAGCUGUGUGUGUCUCCUCCGAGCAAUAAAACCUGUCGUGCUGUGUACGUCCCUGACGUCAGCUCCUUUCCUACAACAGGUCCAAGAGCAGCCGAAGCGCGUUUGCCGUGAAGGCGAUCGUCCAUCGCUACACCUGGGACCGAGAGCUCCGUUCUGAAUCUUCUAAACCCUACAGAGAACACGAGAACUGCUGGAUGAAACUCUUUCUCCUCCGGAUUGAUUCUUUUUUUUGUGUUCGUAUUUCCUUUUUUUUUUUUUUUUUUUUUUCUCCUUUUUUUUUUUUCUUCUCCACCUAUCAUCAUAAUUUUUACACUACGUUAUUUUACACUACACUGGAUGACACUACAAACCGGGUCCAGAUUGAUUAAAUGAUCGUACGGGGGCUGGUGUGGAGUUUGCAGGUUUGAGUGGAGUUUUCACGGGAUUUCUGAAUUCCCUGGGAAUCUUUACGUGGAAAGAGAAGGCUUUCUGGGAUUUUUG